rnacentral:rRNA from 1 species
CCUACGGGGUGCAGCAGUGGGGGAUAUUGCACAAUGGGGGCAACCCUGAUGCAGCGACGCCGCGUGAUCGAUGGAGUACUUCGGUAUGUAAAGCUCUGUCAGCAGGGAAGAGAAUGACGGUACCUGACCAAGAAGCCCCGGCUAAAUACGUGCCAGCAGCCGCGGUAAUACGUAUGGGGCAAGCGUUAUCCGGAUUUACUGGGUGUAAAGGGAGCGUAGACGGUGCAGCAAGUCUGAUGUGAAAGGUCGGGGCCCAACCCCGGGACUGCAUUGGAAACUGUUGAACUGGAGUACAGGAGAGGUAAGCGGAAUGCCUAGUGUAGCGGUGAAAUGCGUAGAUAUUAGGAGGAACACCAGUGGCGAAGGCGGCUUACUGGACUGUAACUGACGUUGAGGCUCGAAAGCGUGGGGAGCAAACAGGAUUAGAUACCCGAGUAGUC